AGUUUGGCGGUUCCGGUACCGCUCUCACAUUGGGGCGGGAUGUGGGAGCGGCUGAACUGCGCAGCAGAGGACUUUUAUUCUCGUCUCCUUCAGUGUCCUGCAGAGAUAAAGUGAUGACUGACUCCUGAGUGUGAAUAACGGGAGAGAUAAUGUAGUUCUGUUUUUCACAUGUGGUUCUGCGUUUCAGGAAAUUUAAUGAAGAAAAGAAAGGAAUCCGUAAAGACCCAUUUCUCUAUGAGGCUGAUGUCCAAGUGCAGUUGAUCAGCAAAGGCCAACCAAACCCUUUGAAAAAUAUUCUAAAUGAAAAUGACAUAGUAUUCAUAGUGGAAAAAGUGAUGGAGUCUCGCUCCGUCACUCAGGCUGGAGUGCAGUGGCACGAUCUCAGCUCACUGCAACCUUCACCUCCCAAGUUCAAGCGAUUCCCCUGCCUCAGCCUCCCGAGUAGCUGGGAUUACAGGCGCCUGCCACCACGCCUGGCUAAUUUUUUGUGUGUAUUUUUAGUAGAGAAAGGGUUUCACCAUAUUAGCCAGG
rnacentral:lncRNA from 10 species